UGCUGACGGAUGCCGCGUGUUUCCUCGUCUCUGAAAGUUCAGGUCUGAAGGAGAAAGCGCCCGCAGUGUCAGGAGCUCCCUGGAGACCGGAAGCAGCCUCUCCAGUGACAGAUACAGGUACUGUUGCACCGUCUACUCCUGGCCUGCACCAGUGACCAGGACCAGCCCGAGGUCCCCCCAGUGUCCGGGCUCAGCCCGAGGUCCCCCCGGUGACCAG
rnacentral:lncRNA from 1 species